AGAAGCUGCAGAGAACAUCAUCCUGUGCAGUAAGAAAUGCCUAAAGGCAAGCCUUUCUUCUCCCAUUUCUAGUCUUUUCCCUUUUCUGGAAAAUUCUGACUUUUCUAAGGUCAAGAAAAAAAAUUUAACUCCUGGUGUCUCACUCACACCUGCUUUAUAACUGAGGAGGUUGGUCCUAAUAUUACUUUUUUUUCUUUCUAUACUUCUUUCCACUUAAAAAAAAUCAUUUAUUUUGAGAGAGCGAGAGCAGGGAAGGGGCAGAAAGAGAGGGAGAGAGAGAAUCUCAAGCAGGCUGUCAGCACAGAGCCUGAUGCAGAGCUUAAUCUCAUGAACUGUAAGAUCAUGACCUGAACUGAAAUCAAGAGCAGGACGUUUAACUGAGUGAGCUGCCCAGGCGCCCCAGUAUUUCUUUCAAUUUUAACCAUGUCGACUGAUUUGGGAUUUUUUUUAAUGUUUUGAUCUUAAUCAUAUGGAAAGCAGACACAGCAUCUGUACAGUGUACCGUAUAUUGUGUGAAUAUGUGACAAAUGUUUUCACAAGGUGAUUUAGUUUAGUUUAGUUUAGUUAUUUUUUUCUAAUGCAAGCAAUUAGAAAAGGACAGUGGCUACGUAUUGUUGGUUUAUUAGCUAAUAAAUGCCUGUCCAAAGCGUAUAGGCAUCACAUCUGAAGUUCAGUUUCAACAUGUUCAAGCAGGUGCAUGUGGGUUUGGAAACUCACACUCAUCAUAAAUUGUACUUGUCUUGAUAAAAAAAAUGUAGAUGUAGACCAAAGUAUGUGUCAACAAUGAAACUUCUACUUCUCUUGAAAUAAAUCUUUGAAAAAUAUUAACCUAAAAUUCAAGUGAAUAAUUCUGCACAUUUCUGGAGUAACAGCAUUAGAUAUUUUUGUGUAUUAAUUGGUCCUUAUGGCAAUGAAGGUGUUGACACUCUUACUUCAAAGUAAUCUAAUGCCUUGAAAAAGCAUGAUUUGUUCUUAUAUUAGAAAAUAAACUAAACUCUUCUCAAUAGUCUAUUUAGGUAUAUGUAGUUUCUUCUGCAGUCUAAACUUUGGGGACAUGAGUGGAUAAUUGUGAGAUUCCCUUCAAGUUCUUCAAUCUUUUCAUCUCGAACAAAAGGCUAUAUUCCUUCUUCAUCAUGAUAAUCAAUUAACUGUUACUACUAGAUGGAAGAAUCUCAGAUUAAUAAUAACAAAAAAGAGAUUAAUCAGAUUUAGUUCUGAAACAAUUUUAAUAGCAUAGGUAGACAAGCUAGGUGUGUGUUUAAAAUAUUUAGAUUCUAAUAAUCUGAAAUAAUAAUAAUGACAUAAUUAUUAUUAUUAAGGAGUAUAUGGUCAUAUAUUUCCAAUAUCUAUUUGAUGUGGUUGAAACAAACUCUAAGAUGAAAGCUGACAAUGUUCCAUUUCUUUGUUCUCCUCCCAAAACCUUCUUCAUUGACCACAGUUACUCAUCUGACACUCAUCUACCCUGGGUGUCCUGUAGAGACAUGUUUGAAAAUGUCUUUUACUUGAGGGACACAAAAUUUCACGAGCUAUAUGUUUUACACCCCUCUCCCUCUCUCUACUUUAUGAGUGGUAAAAUUACACUGCAUGCAUUGUUAUCCCAAGACUGCGAAAAAUACUUGUCUGUUAAAAUAAACAUUUUUUCUACACAGGUUUUUACCAAAGAGAAAUAACCUUUUAUUUCCAAGCUGGCUUGUUUUUUUGGGGGGGAGGAGAGAAUCUAAAUAUGAUGCAGAUACAAAUACAGAUAUGCUGAGUAACAAUAAAGAAGCAAUUCUCUGUUUGCUCACAUUUUUCUGUUGCAUCAUAUAUGUAUUAUACAUGCAUUUGUACUUCUUUACCAUUCACUGCUUUGAAGACUGAAAUGCUUGGCAUAAUUCAUAUUUUUUCAAAUAUCUAUCCCAAAAUAUACUUUAUAAAAAAUACAAAUGAGCUUUUAACACACUGCAGACAUUCUAAGAAAUAGUCUGGAACCUCACUAAGAAUAGUGUCAGAAUUUGAGAGGGAUUUGUUCUAGGCGUGACAUGAAAUGUAAAAAUUGAAUUUCUUGCACAAACUUAAAACCAAAACAUCGUAUAACCUCUCUGUGUUUUGGACCCAACACGUCUCUGUCUAUUUGGAUAAAAGCUAUUGGAUGCACAUUUUUUGGUGAACUGUCAACAGCAAAGCAUGAAAACAGAUGUGUUUCUGCUAUUUUCAUUAUUAGGGAAAUAAAAGCAGCUGUGCUGGACUUGUGUGCGAGGGAAGCGCUCAGUGAGGCCUCCACACUCUGGGGGUUGGAAAAUCUGGCAGUGUAGACCAGGAUUUACAUCAAGACUAUCUUCAAACAAUGCCAAUGGAGAUGAUUCCUGGGCAUUGUUUAGGGCUUCACUCCUUUCUGGACACAUUAGUUCAGUUUUUCUGGGAUCAAAGUUCUGUGUGGGAACAUUUGCUAAAGGUAGGUAAAAUUAUGAUGGCCUUCAUUUGCAUAAAAGCAGUAAGAAAGGUUAUGUCAGAACUGGACUUUCUCAGCAUUUGAGAUUCUAUCAUUUAAAAUAGUGAAGGUAGCGCAUCACAUUGAGGGGUGGCAAGUUCAAACCAAUGAUAGUGCUUCAGUAGAGUUCUGCUAAGACUAUCUGGUCAAGGAGCACCAAAUAGGCCUUUUUUAGACACAACACACACAGUGGGAAAGAAACCUAGCAUGUUUGGCGAAAGAAAAAUAAAGUAUAAAAACAGAGUUUUCUUUUAUGCACUAGCAGACCUGACAGUAACCAGAUGGUAGUUUUUUUUGCACUGGUGGUUUAGUGCAGAAGGGCUAUUUUUGGUCCACUUUGGAAAAUUUGUCACAAAAGUUCAUUUGUCUCAAACUUUCUCUUCUUUCUGUAGGAGUCUGGUGUUUGUGUUUGUAUGUGUGUGUCUGUGCAUGUGUGCAUGUGCGUGUGUAUGUGUGUGUGUGUGUGUGUGGUGAGGGGGACUUAUUUAUGCAGUUAUGUACUAUUUUGCCUUUAUAGACAGAAGUUAUUCCUUGGCAAAGAGAAAGAGACAAAAUGUGAGAAUGAUAAAAUUGGGUUUCUCUGCGUUGAUCUGAAGUUUGAACUGAUGCUAUAUUGGUGAUCAUGGGAAGAAAAGAAUAGAAGACACUGAUAAAAAAGAAUAAUGAUAUUUAACUCUAUACAUUUUCUAAGCACUGUGCUCACUGAUAGUAUCAUGAGAAAUUUUCUCAAGGACAGGAAUCAAAUCAAGAAUGGAAAUUACUUAAAGGGGCAUAGAUACUAAGACAAAUCACUAAAUUCAAGAAAGGAUACCCUGUACCUUAACAUAAAAUAUUAGGGUUUUUUUUUAGGUAACUAUAUGGGAGCAGUUCAGUGCUGUAGCCUUAGACUCUCCAAAUUAUAGAAGUAGGUGCAGGCGUUUCUAAUAAGAAAUGAAAUUCCAUAGCAUCUUAGCAUUCAUUGUCACAGCCUGCCUGAAUGCCAGAAUCCCCAGAACUUCUUGAUUUGUCCCCUAUCUCGUUAUAGAUCUCAAAAGACUCAAAUUUUGCAAUACUUAAAAAAAAAAAGAAUGGGGAAAAAGAAUAUUUAGGUACGGGUUCUAAAAAGCUUUGGCGUAAACUCAGACUCCUGCCCACACAGCAAUUGUGGAGGGUUACGCAGAGUCUUUCUUUCCCAGGUGAAAUAUUUUUGAUUCUGCAAGUUCAGCUCACAUGUUUAUUUUUAUUCUCAUAACAUUCUCUCUCUUUCUCUCUUUUGUUCCCUCUCUUUUCCCUUUUAUUUCUGGCUUUCAAAUAGUAUCACUACUGGCUUAUAAUUGACUAAGCUCAGAUAAACUCAGUGAGAAAAUGGGUUAAGCUAGGGCAUCUGAAUGGCUCAGUUGGUUAAGUGUCGGACUCUUGAUUUUGGCUCAAGUCAUGAUCUCAGGUUUGUGAGUUCGAGCUGAGCAGGGAGCCUGCUUGAAAUUCUCUCUCUGCCCCUGCCCCGCUCAUGCUUGCUCACUUUCGCGUUCUCUCUCUCUCUCUCCCUCAAAAUAAAUAAAUGUUAAAAAAAGAAAAAAGAAAAUGGGCUAAGCAUUACAAUCACGGAAUGGUUAUUAGGAAUGCCAGUAUAAAUGUGCUGGACGCUUGAUCAGUUAUCAAAGAAGUGUUAUUUGAAAAUUAGCACAACUUUGGUCAAAUUCUAUUGAUUUUUAAAGCCCAGUUUUCAAAUAUAACUAUGUCCAGGUUGCCCUACUGAGUAUUCUGGACUGAUCAUAGAUUAAAUGGAAACUCAGGGACCUCCACUCUAUAAGAGCAGGAGGUAAUGGCAGAUGCCAAGGGAGGAAAAGUGGGUUCUGCUUCCUCCAAGUAGCACCUCCUAGAGAUGUAAGUGACAGCACCCUGACACUCAUAGUAGGGCCUGCUGGGAUCAACUUGUAAGUUUUUGUCUUGCUCACUCUCUUACAUUCCUGUGUGUUACAGGAUGUUUAAACCUCAUGUCUUUGGGCUUGAUCCAAAUGGGGUGUAAGUUCAGAGACUGUGAAGAGGGCAGCAGACCCCAAGCCAUGUCCACUCACAACUCAUACUCGGCAGCAAGACUGAGCCCAUAAGUGUGAAUUCCUUCACCUUCCUUUUCCCCACAAUUCUCAUAUAUUGACUUGAUGCAUGCCUGCCAGUCUCAGGGGAUGAGACCUCCCUCACAGCCAAGGUCAGUUUCUCCCCCAUGCUCAUGAUUCCCUCUCUUCUUGGAAUGAGAUCUUACUCCAUCAGUUAUCCUUGCCUCUCCAACACCUUCAACCCCCUUCUCUUUACCUUGCCUUUGGCCUAUGUUAUAGACAAAUCUCUUACCCUCAAAAAAAAGUCCCAUCUUGACCCUGUUUCCUCUUCUCAUUAUUACACUGCUUUCCUUCUUUCCUCCCCAUAUAUGUCAUAGCAGUGUUUAUUUCCAUGUUCACUCUUCAUCCUACUGCCAUUGGGCCUCCCCCUACCCCUCAGCAAUUCUCUUCCACCUCUCCUGUGAUUUUCAUCUUACUCUUCCAACUCCUUCUUGUUUUUUUCAGGGACUCUGGUUUUUUUUCUGCCUUCCUCUAAAAUUUUGAUGAUUUUCAAAUUUUCUUCUUACUGUAUAUACUCUGAGAGCUAUUCUUUUGUUUCAAGGUUUUAACUAUUGCUUGUUCACUAAUGGCUCCCUGUAGAUUUUUCUAGGAUAGUCUUCUCCUGAGGAAAAGUUUCUUGUAUUUACCUCCACUGAACAUUUACACCUGGAAUUCAUACAGGGGUUUUUUAUUUGUUUGUUUUUUUUUAAAUCUUAAUAACCCUGAGAUGGAAUCAGUCUCCUUUCACUGUUCUUUAUGUGAGCCCUUGACUUUGCCUUUUUUCUUUCUGUCCCUCACACUAUUACAACUGAGCGACCACUGAGCCCUACCAAUUGUAUUCAUUAAAUAUUUCUUGACCCUAUUAUCACUGUCUCAUUAGCUCUUGCCUGGUUUACUAUAAUAACCUUCUAGAUAAUCCCUCUGUCUCAAAAUUUUUGAUCCAUAAGUCUAUCCUUCACACUGUUAGAACAGAGUACCAAAAAUCUGUUUUGCUGCCACUCUAUUCAAACCAUAAAAUGGCACUCUUUGGCUUAGUAUAUAAACUUUCCAUUACCAUCUGAACUCAGCUACAUUUUCAGUCCUAUCUCUAGUUUAACUGUUUGUCAAUGUUUCUUUUCAUAUACCACAUUUCUUACCUUCAUGUUCUUAUUCCUCUAACUUCAUAACCUUCCCUCACACCUUCACCUAACUUCUGCUUCCUUUCUCCUCUACCCCUCAAGAUCGCCACCUCCUGGAUGGGUGAUGUUUAUGCUGGUGAUCUAGGGCCUCACAAUAUCUGCUAGAUAGUGGAGGCCAGCCAGGUGGCAAAGGUCAGAUCAAGGGCAUUGUUUUCUCACCCAAGGCAAAUGUAUUGAACAGCCUCUAGAUAGUAUCCAUUAUUUUGAGAAGGUGGGGUGGGGGAGUAAAACUCAGAAACCAGGAAACAAAAAACCAGUGAUUUCAGGUUUUAGAAUUAUGUCCAAAACAUGGGCUGUGGUUACUUGAAAAUGAAACUGAGAAGGAGCAAAAACCUACUAAGUUUUGGAAGACAUUGUAUUGUCAAAGAAUCUACAAGCUAAACUUAUAAAGAUUUAUUAUUGUUCAAGCUCUAAAUUAGAUCAUUCUGUACCAGAAGAAAUCAGACUGCAAAAGCUGGUCAGCUCUCAAGCAUACUUCAGAGGUGGCCACAGAGGACAAUAAACUAGAAAGGAACUUCCCAAAAGGCAAAGCCACGGGCUCCUCUCGGAAUGAAACAUCAGGAGCAGUCAAUGUGGCUGUAUAAGAACUCAUUCUAAGGCAGAGAACCUUGGUGGUUCUUACCCAACAGCCCUUUAUAAUCUUUAUAGACAGAUGACUGUUCCAUGUUUCCAUCUUUCCCUGUUUAAAAUUAGAGACUUUAUGACAGUUAUCCUAGUCAUAUUCCACCAUUGUAGAUUUGGCAUGUGUGUUUGGGGGGGCAGUCACAUAACUUGUCUUUUACUUUAUAGGUUCUCAGAUGCUGAAUGAGACCUACAGAGGGUGUGAGUGUGCUCUAUGUAUCAGAAGAAAUACCACAGAUAUUUGGGUAGACAAAUGGGUAUUGUGGAAGAGAGGCUUAAUUGAUCCCCAAUAUGUGUUCUCCUCAUGCAUGGUAAUGGAAUUUUAACUCUUACAAGGCCAUCCAAAAUGAAGAGUGCAUUUUGUUUCCUUAACAGCUGGUUGUGGUUAUGUGAUUUGGUUUUGGCUUUUAGAGCAGAAAUACUGUGUGCUUCCAGGAUUUUCCCUUAACGGGAUGUCCUUCUCUUACUCCCUUUGCCUUUUCUAGUUAUGGGAAGGAGCGGAUUGGGCCAUCAAUUGAACACGAGUUGGAAGCCACAUGUGAUGAAGAUUGGAGCAGUGAAAUAGAGGGAGACUUUGUGAUUGAAGCUCGUGGAGCUAGCAUGCAAGCCAAGUGGCUCACUUAGGAUCUCUUUCCAUUCCAGCACCAAACUGAUGGAUAACUAAUGUCAAUUAAAUGAAGAAAAAAUUUACAAAAAGUAUCCAGAUAAUCCGACAUGAUGAACACAACUUCAUUAUUAAACUGUAUGUUCAUUUGAGGAGCUUCUUUGUUUUUUAGUUUUUCAAAAGUAGUUACAAACUUUCCCUCAAAUGGGCAACACUGAAGCCAUACAGGCAUAGUUAUUCUCCCCUUCACCUAUGUUUAUUUUACUUGGAAGGAUGUGGAGCACAAUUGGAAGACUGAUGAAAAUGAAUUAUAAGUUUCCACUCUCCUUUCUAUGGACAUGUAUUUACUAUGCCUCAUUUGCAUUGAGAUAGUAGGUACUUACAUCAUUGCAUAUUUUGGUAAAUACUAUUUUAUAAUGGUCAAAGUCACUAAGCAAUUAAUUUCAAGUAAGCAUAAAGUAAUGAAAAGUGAACUUGAGUAAUGUAGGGAAAAGAUAGUAGUAAGCACAUUUCUGGGAGAGUUGGAACAAUGAAGCCUAAGAUUUCCUGGACAUGGAACUCUAGCAAGUUCAAAAAGCCAUCCCAUUAGACCCUGGUGGAUAUAUUACUAGAAAAAUCAGAUAUUUCUCUUCCCCUUAGCUGUGUCUUCUCUCUCCCUAGCAUGAGAGAUAAUUUUAGAUUAUACGGAUGGGCUCUAAAUGCUAUUACAUGUAUCCUUAUAAGAAAGAGGAAUGAGAAGAUUUGGCACACAGAGAAGAUGAUGUGAAGACAGAAGCAGUGAUUGGAGAAAUGUAACCAUAAACCAAAGAAUUCCAAGGAACGCUGCUAGCCACCAGAAGCUAGAAAACUAAAGGAAUGGAUUCUCCCCACAACAUCUGGGAGAACCUCCACAGAACCUGCCCACACCUUGAUUUUGAACUUCUGGCCUCUAGAACUGUGAGAGAAUAAAUUUCUGUUGUUUUAAGUUACCA
rnacentral:lncRNA from 1 species